GGCAAGGUGGCGGAGUGGUUAACGCGAUAGCCUGCUAAGCUAUUUCCUUCGGGAGCGUGAGUUCGAAUCUCACCCUUGUCG